GUGAGGAAUUUUGCGCAAUGGGGGAAACCCUGACGCAGCGACGCCGCGUGGAGGAUGAAGGCCUUCGGGUCGUAAACUCCUGUCAUAGGUGAAGAAUGCCCGCAAGGGUUUGACGGUAACCUCAGAGGAGGCCCCGGCUAACUACGUGCCAGCAGCCGCGGUAAUACGUAGGGGGCAAACGUUACUCGGAAUUACUGGGCGUAAAGGGUGCGUAGGCGGCUGGAAAGUCAAGGAUGAAAUCCCGUGGCUCAACUGCGGAACGGUCCUUGAAACUACUCGGCUUGAGGAUAACCGAAGAGAACGGAAUUCCCGGUGGAGCGGUGAAAUGCGUAGAUAUCGGGAGGAACACCUGAGGCGAAAGUGGUUCUCUAGACUACUCCUGACGCUGAGGCACGAAAGCUAGGGGAGCAAACGG
rnacentral:rRNA from 1 species